AGGCGAGGGUUUCCCCGCGGUCUGGGGUUUGAGAUGCGAUGAGGGCGCUCAGGGGCGGAGGGAAGCUGCCUGGCAUCAGUGGGUUGCGGGCCUCCCCCAGCAGCCAAAAACAUGUGUGUGCGUGCAGGCUGCUGUGCCUUACACCCAACCUCGUGCCGUUGUUGGUGACUGAGGCGCCUUACCGGAGGAGCCCGGGAUCCCCGAGUGCAUCAGUCCCGAAAUAAGGGAGAACAGCAGCAUCGCUCCCGGCCACCAAAGAAUUUCUCGAAGCGGGCCCCUUGGCGUUAUCACUGCUUAAUGCGAACGUUCCUUUCAAGAAGAAAGCAGCAGAGGCAAGGCGCUUGCCGCUAGUUCAUUGUUACCGUGGACACGGUUCCAAGCGGUUCUAUUUUUAUCGAUACAAAAGAAAACGCUGAAAAUUGAGAGCUGACCUUGAAAAAGAGAAGAGCAUGGUGAGACGGGCACCGCUCCAUCGGACUAAAGCAGAUCUUUACAUGUUUAAAGCCCUUCGUCAAGGUUAUGGCGUUAUUCCAAAUGGUAAAACGCGGCUAUUUCGCUUCUCACUGCCGCAAGAAAAUAGACACCUCCACUUUUCCUUCUCUAGAAUAACGUUUUAAAAGAACCUAAAGCAUCACAACGUUUUUUAUUUUUAUUUUGCUUUCCCGAUUCAACGCUGAGAGUUUACAAACGAUCAAGUGUUGGAAAACCUAUCGGAAACAGUGUGGCCACAUUACGACAAAGCAGUAACCUGGCGCUUGCAAAACGGUGACAGUUGCAAAGUUGAUUUUUUUUUUCUUUUUUCUUUUCCCCCCUUCUCCUUUGUUUCCUAUCCUUUAAAAAUAAACCUUUCGAAAAAUAAAACAAAUAAUAAUCCCAAAUGCUUCCGCAGUAACUGCUAGUCCCCUUUCUCUAUUGCAAGAAGCCCUGUCCGCUAAUAGGAAGCUCAUUUAAUUAUUUUCAUUCUAAUCUCUUUAAUCCCCCCCCCCCCCCGCCCCCCUCUGCUAAGAGUAAAUGACGCUAAUGGGACCCAUGUGGAGGAGCCCCGGGGUGGCGGCGCAGCUCCUCCCGGCCCCGUGCCCGGGCAGGUGGAGCCGGCGGGGCGGAG